GUGGGGAAUCUUAGACAAUGGGGGAAACCCUGAUCUAGUCAUGCCGCGUGAGCGAUGAAGGCCUUAGGGUUGUAAAGCUCUUUCAGCUGGGAAGAUAAUGACGGUACCAGCAGAAGAAGCCCCGGCUAACUCCGUGCCAGCAGCCGCGGUAAUACGGAGGGGGCUAGCGUUGUUCGGAAUUACUGGGCGUAAAGCGCACGUAGGCGGAUCAGAACGUCAGAGGUGAAAUCCCAGGGCUCAACCUUGGAACUGCCUUUGAAACUCCUGGUCUUGAGGUCGAGAGAGGUGAGUGGAAUUCCGAGUGUAGAGGUGAAAUUCGUAGAUAUUCGGAGGAACACCAGUGGCGAAGGCGGCUCACUGGCUCGAUACUGACGCUGAGGUGCGAAAGCGUGGGGAGCAAACAGGAUUAGAUACCCGAGUAGUCC
rnacentral:rRNA from 1 species